rnacentral:rRNA from 1 species
GGGCUGGGCUACGUGCUACAAUGGUGGGACAGUGGGCAGCGAGACCGCGAGGUCGAGCUAAUCUCACAAAAGCCACUCUCAGUUCGGAUUGCACUCUGCAACUCGAGUGCAUGAAGUUGGAAUUAGUAAUCGCAGAUCGAGCAUGCUGCGGUGAAUACUUCCCGGGCCUUGUACACACCGCCCGUCACACCGGGAGUUGGUUUUACCCGAAGGUAGUGCGCUAACCGCAAGGAGGCAGCUAACCACGGUAGGGUCAGCGACUGGGGUGAAGUCGUAACAGGUAGCCGGAGGGGAACCUGCGGUUGGAUCACCUCCUUA